rnacentral:ncRNA from 2 species
CAUCGAGAAAGGCAAACUUAUGGAAGCAUAAGGAUGCAAAGCUGUAGGGGCUAAGGGCGGAUGAGACUAGGCUAGCCAGUUACCGGA